rnacentral:rRNA from 1 species
AAAUCCUCUUGCGGGGGGAUUCAGUCGGAAGGGUCGGAGGUGCCAACGGUCGAUCGAAACGGACCUCCUCCAAGGCCGGGCUGCAGGCACGGUCUCCGACUCGCCCGACGCAUUUCCUCUCGCACUACGGACGCCGCAACCGGUCGGGUAGCUGCGCGAGUCGGCCACGAGGGCGGGCGCCGGCAGGUGGCCGGGGGUUUCGCUUCGGCGUCUCUCCCGGUUGUUAGCCAGCUCGCCCGUGGCGCGACACCCGACCGAGGUCGACCCGUUCCCGCUCGUGGGAACGCGCCGUCCCCUUUCCAGCGGGCGCUCCGGCAGGCGAACUGCGGUCGUCGCCGAGUCACUCUUCGUAGUGGCCGGCGCGUCGCGGACGCCGUUGGCCGGCAGUGAGUCCCGCGGGGGCGGUCCCGGGGUUGGCGGCGAGUAGGUCGGUCACCCACCCGACCCGUCUUGAAACACGGACCAAGGAGUCUAACAUGUGCGCGAGUCACGGGGUCUUGACCAGGCCCAGAGGCGCAAUGAAAGUGAAGGCCGCUCUCGCGGUGGCUGUGUUGGGACUCCGCUCGAAUUUUCGGGCGGAAGCACCAACGGCCCGUCCCGUCCGAUUUAUCGGUGGGGCGGAGUCGGAGCGUACACGUUGGGACCCGAAAGAUGGUGAACUAUGCCUGGGCAGGACGAAGCCAGAGGAAACUCUGGUGGAGGUCCGUAGCGGUUCUGACGUGCAAAUCGAUCGUCAGACCCGGGUAUAGGGGCGAAAGACUAAUCGAACCAUCUAGUAGCUGGUUCCCUCCGAAGUUUCCCUCAGGAUAGCUGGCGCUCGGAGGAAUCAGUCUCAUCCGGUAAAGCGAAUGAUUAGAGGCCUUGGGGCCNAAACGACCUCAACCUAUUCUCAAACUUUAAAUGGGUGAGAAGUCCGUCUUGCAUGACUGAAGACCGGACAUUUCAGGAUGUGAGCGCCCAGUGGGCCACUUUUGGUAAGCAGAACUGGCGCUGUGGGAUGAACCAAACGCCGGGUUACGGCGCCCGAUGCGAGACGCUCAUGAGACCCCAUGAAAGGUGUUGGUUGCUAUAGACAGCAGGACGGUGGCCAUGGAAGUCGGAAUCCGCUAAGGAGUGUGUAACAACUCACCUGCCGAAGCAACUAGCCCUGAAAAUGGAUGGCGCUCCAGCGUCGAGCCCAUACCCGGCCGCUGCGGCAGAGCUUUGUUGAGGCUUACGCCGCAGCGAGUAGGAGGGUCGCAGCGGCGAGCGUCGAAGGUGCCGGGCGCGAGCCCGCCUGGAGCCGCCGCUGGUGCAGAUCUUGGUGGUAGUAGCAAAUACUCAAGUGAGAACCUUGAGGACUGAGGUGGAGAAAGGUUCCAUGUGAAACAGCAGUUUGAACAUGGGUCAGUCGGUCCUAAGGGAUAGGAGAAAUCCGUUCCGAAGCGGGACGUUGUUACCUAGGCUCGU